CACGUAGGGAGCAAGCGUUGUCCGGAUUUAUUGGGCGUAAAGAGCUCGUAGGCGGUUCGAUAAGUCAGGUGUGAAAACUCUGGGCUCAACUCAGAGACGCCACUUCAUACUGUCGUGACUUGAAUCUGGUAGGGGAGUGUGGAAUUCCCGGUGUAGCGGUGAAAUGCGCAGAUAUCGGGAGGAACACCAGUGGCGAAGGCGGCACUCUGGGCCAGUAUUGACGCUGAGGAGCGAAAGCGUGGGGAGCGAACAGG
rnacentral:rRNA from 1 species